rnacentral:lncRNA from 10 species
AAAGAGUUAUUAUUCAGAAAGAGUUACUGGGUCACCACUGAACAUGGUCCAUAAUAUUUCUCCUCAAACUCAAAUGAAAAUUCAACUUGUUUUAUUUACCAGCUCAUAAAGUUCCUGAAGAUGGAUAAUUUUUUCUCAUGAGCUUCCAGGAGCUGGUGUCAGCACACCACUGUUUGUCUGAUGAGUGAGUAACACUUCCUGGAGAAGGUGAAACCUCAAGUGAGUCUUAACAGAAAGCCAAAAAGAAGCGAUAGGAAGGAAGCGACACUGUGCCUUAUGAAAGUUUGGUUAUGAAAAACCUUCUAGAGAAUUAACUUUGAGUCAACAUUCCCUACUCCUGUUGUUUUGAGAAGAGCCUAUUCUCUUCUUGAAAAAUAUGACAAGAAAAUCACGAAUACGUUCCAGUGCAGAAUAUUACUGGGGUCAAAAAGGACUUAAAAAAUUGACUUUCUGCAAGAAUCUGCAAAGGGAAAAACAUAAGGCCUCUCCAAUGGAGAUAUUUUCAAUCUUUGAAGGAGAAUUGGAAAAGUAAGUAUAAAAUGACAAACACCUUUGUAUCUACUGACCUUUUCUGAUACUCAUCAGCCCUUACAAAUGCCUGAGCAGGAAGAACAACUUUCCUCUUAGUCCUGUAGAUGAGGAGUUCAUUGAGACCCCAACCACCAGCUUCUCAGAUUGUCUUGGGUCCUUUGCAUUCAGCACUCAAUCACAUUUGCAUACUUUUGACAUCCUCUUAGAUAAUUUCCCUGCUGUGCCUGAGAAGCAAAUCAUACUAUUCUAGUCUUUCUUGUAUUUACAUGCAGUGCUACCUUUGCAUUUUCUCUAGCUGUGAACGCUGUUUUCUUCUCCCUGGUGCUCUGAUUACUUGAUAUAUUCAUGACAUUGGUACUCGGAUCUUUUCCCCACUCUGGUGUAAGGUGGAGAGGAGAGAAAGCACCGAAUAGGGUCUUCGUAGAUGAUUGCUGCUUUCAACUUAGUUCAUAAGCAGCUACUUCAUUCACCUCAGUUUCCUCCUUUAAAAUAAAAUGAUGUGUUUGGAUUGAAAGAUCUCAGUUUGAGAUCACCGUAUGUCUGAGAUUUUCUUGCACAAUCCCUCAUAUUUGUAUUCUAAUUGUGAAUGUAUCUAUGACAAACUGUAUUCUAAUUUUGAGAUAGUAAAGCAUGGUCAAUAUAUUACUAAUUUAUCCAUCUUCUUUUCCAGAUCUAAAGAAAUGUGACCCUUGUGAGGCCAGAAAGAAAGAAAGAAAUACCUAUGCUACUGCUACUCUGCCACUCCUGCCCCCCACCCUGGAUUCACCAACUUCUCACAGCUGCUGGAGGGUCUCAGGUUGCUGAAUUAAUACACCAAAAGUCACAAUUUGAAUCGAAAAUGAACUGCUCUAUUGAAUACAUCCAUCAUGGCUGAAAAUAUCUUUGGAGUUCACAAGUUACAAAAACACCCCUGUCUCAAACCAUUGAACUACACAUGAAUCAUCUUGUGUAAUCUUGUCAUUUUGGCUUGGAUAUUUUCUAACUCAAUUGGCAGAACAAGGAAAGACAGUGCAUUUGAAGAAUUGCAUACAUAGAACCAUACGAAAGCCCCAAAUGACAUAUGCAAUAGUGCUAUUCUAAAUAAAAGACCAAAGCUGAUUGUCUGGGACAAAUUUUGGGUUCCAAAGGUAGUAGCUAUGCGUGGAUUUACAGAACCACAUCAGGGUAAGAUGAGUGAGUCUGGAAUUCUUUUUACUACAAACACUUUAGUGAAACCACAGAAGCAGUUUAAGUGACUUCGGAAAACAAAAAACAAAAAAACAAAAAAAAACACCUUUCUUAUAAAUGGACUAACAUAAUUUUUUUUUUUUUUUUUUUUUUUUUUUUUUUUUUUUUUUACUUUAAGUUCUGAGAUACAUUUGCAGAACAUGCAGGUUUGUUACAUAGGUAUACAAGUGCCACGGUAGUUUGCUGCACCUAUCAACCCAUCAUCUAGGGUAUAAGCCCACAUGUCUUAGAUAUUUGUCCUAAUGCUCUCCUUCCCCUUGCCCCCACCCAACCCUCCAACAGGCCCUGGUAUAUGAUGGUCCCCUUCCUGAGUCCAAGUUUUCUCAUUGUUCAAUUCUCACUUAUGAGUGAGAAAUUUUUUUUAGAUUUAGAUUUAGAUUGAAGUAGCUUCAAAUUAGAGAGCCUUCUAAUCCACGAAAUAAAAUGACAAGUAAGUCAUUCCAACAUAUGGAUUACAAUAAAAGAUAAGCAAAGAUGAAAUAAAACAAGAAAGUGCUUUUCAUGUUUUCUAAUUUGAUCAUUCUCUUAAGUAAUAUGAAAAAAAGAAUUAACUGCAAUAAAGAAAUCAGUUGAGAUGGAAGAGAAGCCAAAGAGU